GCCCCAGUAGCUCAAUUGGACAGAGCGAGGCUCUCCUAAAGCCUAGGCUGUGCGUUCGAUUCGCACCUGGGGCA
rnacentral:tRNA from 1 species